AGCUGGUUAGCCUAAGGCAUGGUCUAAAACUCUUUAUAUACAGAUUUUUCCAGACGUCAAUGGGAGAAAUGAAUGGGAAAUUUACUUCCAGAACCCAAAGUCUCUCGGAGGAGGGGCAGGACUGUUGAGCUCUAUAAGCACACUGAAAUGAAUUUACAUAUUGGCACACAGA